UACUUUCACCGUUCUGUAAAAGGGUUGGAUCCGACGCCUUUUGCAGGCUACUAUAGGCUCUCCUUCUCAACUCCUACUCAAUACGUCCACGACGUGCAGAACGGUAACUUGUCGCCUAGAUCCAAGCUUGGGUACACGGGGAAACCCAACCCCUUGGGCGGAUGGGUGGCAAGGCUGAAUUGAGAGGU
rnacentral:ribozyme from 1 species